AGCCACAUUCCACGUAGACAAGUGAAAGUCCGCGAAUUCAAGAUUCCAAAGUUUAAAUUCUCUUUCGGGUUCGACGCUUCAGAUGUUUUGAAAGGAUUGGGACUGACUUCACCAUUCAGUGGCGAAGACGGUUUAACUGAGAUGCUUGAAUCUCCAGAAAUGGGGAAGAAUCUAUCUGUAUCGAACAUUUUCCAUAAAGCGUGUAUCGAAGUGAACGAAGAAGGAACAGAAGCUGCAGCCGCAUCAGCUGGAGUUAUAAAACUAAGAGGUUUGCUUAUGGAGGAAGAUGAGAUAGAUUUUGUGGCGGAUCAUCCGUUUCUGUUGGUGGUGACUGAGAACAUAACAGGAGUGGUUCUGUUCAUAGGCCAAGUCGUUGAUCCGUUGCAUUGAAAACUAAUUUGGAGCUUACUGGUUUUACUUAUAAGAGUAAUCAAUAAAAUGAGCUGAGUGUCGUUACGAGUGGUGUGACUUAUCUUUUGAUAUGUGUAAUAAUAAUAACAUCCUUUUUUUAACAGCAGACAUUAAGGUUUCAUCAACAUACAGUAUAUGUACGUUAAACUAUAGAUUAAUUAGUAAAUUCUGAAAUUCAAUUGUUUCGAAUUCAUAGAACUUGAUUCAUUAUAUAAUGCAUAAAAACUGAUACAUCACAUAUAAUACAUAAAAAUUGAUCAUCACACACGGUCGCUUUUUCUUCAUAAAAUACAACAAAUUAUUUAUGAUGUUAUUAGAUACACAAACUUCGUCGAGAACAACAAUGCGUUAACGGGCUCUAAUGGUUCGUUGCUUCCUUCUGCCAAAAACUUUCAUGAACCACUCAUGUUUGUACAAAACCACUAUGUGUCCCAUCACUAGUCCAAAUACAACUCCAGGUGCAAAGCCUAAACCUGCUGCCAUCCAACUCAAUGCUUCUUCCUCUUCUUCUUCUUUUGUCUCCACCAGUUCCGAUUGUGUUGGCGCUUUGAUAUCUCCACAAACAUCUUUAAGGGAAAGAGCAUUAAGCCCCAGGUUUCCUUCGUAGGAGGAGCAUUUUUGUCGUUGAAACUGUGUGCCUUGUGGUAUGGAACCUACAAGCUGAUUAUGUGAAACAUUUAUCACUUCUAGAGAUGAGAGGGUCCCAAGUUCAGGAGGAAUCUCACCAGAAAUCUUGUUUUGGGAUAGGUCGAGUGACUCCAGAUUCGUCAAAUUUGUCAAAGUAGAUGGGAUGUGCCCCGUGAAAGCAUUGCUUGACAUGUUGAGAAUAUGAAGUUCCUUAAGGAGACCAAUGGAAUCAGGAAUUGGUCCAUGGAGUUGAUUUCCUGAAAAAUCAAUGGCUGUGUAGGUUGUAAGGAUACGUUCCAUCUCCAUUGACACUCCUUUAUUCAUCAACACAAGUGAGUAGUAGCCUGCUUCUGAAGGACCCCAAAUGUACUCCAGUUCCAUAUUAUUAUCUCUCUUGGAGUACAUCGCAGUCCAAUUCAAAAAGUAAUCUGAUGGCAAUGUACCGGAGAAGUCAUUGUGUGAUACAUCAAUGAUUUUCAGAUGAGGAAAUCCAAACCAAACCCCAUCAGCAUUACGUAAUGUACCAUGAAACCUGUUAGAGUGUAGGACAAGGACUUGAAGUUUCUGCAGAGAAUUCAAGUGGAAGGGAAACAUGUCUUUGAUUGUGUUGCUUCCCACGUUCAAAACUUCCAAAGCAGAGCAACCAACAAGAGAAGCUGGUAUUUUUCCCUCUAAUCGGUUGUGACUGACGUCAAGUGACAUUAAACUCUUGGCGUGAUGAAAUAUUUCAGGAAGAAUUCCGCUAAGUCUGUUGUUACGGAGAUUUAGAUAUGCAAGAGAAGUCAUCACCAGAGUCUCUAAACACCAGGGAAUUGAACCAUGGAGGUUGUUGUUUGAUAGAUCUAGGCCCUCUAGAGAGUUUACUCCACAUAUUGAUUGAGGAAUCUCUCCAGUGAAGUUAUUCUUAGAACCCGAAAAAUAUUGGAGAUGCUUAGAGGAUGGGAUGAAGAGUGGUCCUUGGAAAGCAUUUGAGCUUAGAUCAACAAAACUGUUUUGACUCUCAAGAUAAACUUUUAAGGAUCCAUUGAAACCGCUGAGAGAGUUCUUAGAGAGACUCACAUGCUCCAAUUUUGGCAGUCUCCACAACCAGUCUGGUACUUGACCUUUGAUUUUGUUGUUGGAAAGAUCUAGUUUUUGUAGAUUUCUUUCGUAUCUUACGAACUCAGGGAACUUAGUGAUGUUGCAGCCACUCAAAACUAAAUAUUCCAAACUUGAUGGGAAAUCCGAAUCAAGAGUGAUGUUUGCUGUUGAAAGAGGGAUGCCAUAUAUAGAUAACCAGUCUAGCUUCUUGAGAGGCAAGAAGACAUUUAAGUUAACUUCUGAAUCAUAGACUUUGUUGUAAUUUCUACUCCCAAUAGAAAUUGUUUGUAAAUUAGGUAAGAGAGAGAUAUUUGAAAUCCCAGCAAAGUCGUUGAAUUGGUUAUAACGCAAAAAGAUUUUGGUCAAAGAGGGAAUCUUGACUAGGGAUGAAAGAAUGGCUCCGUUAAAAGAACUGGCAUCAGCCGCAAAACUCUCUAAUUUGGAGAAUUGGCUAAUGAUUGGUGGAAGAGAACCAGUGAACUGAUUUGGAGAGAGCCAGAGUUCACGUAGUUGGGUAAAAUUGAGUAUUGAAGCUGGCAAGUUUCCACUGAGCGUGUUACCACUAACAUAAAAAAUGGUCAGCUGUUUUAAAUUGCCAAUUGAAGAUGGAAUUUCACCAACAAGAUUAAAAUUCCAACCAAGAUUAAGGAUAGAGAGAUGAGAAAGGUUCCCAAGUGAAAAUGGAAUCUUCCCUGUGAAAUGAGAAAAGGAAAGAGUCAAAGAAAUCAAAUGUUUGAGGCUGCUAAUGGAGUCGGGUAUGGGACCAGAAAAAGCUGUUAGUUUAAUGGUCAGAUGUAGCAAAGAAUUAUUCUCACGAAAAGAGGGAAGAUUGCCUCUCAGAUUUGGAUUGUUGAUUAAUCUAAUGGACUGUAGGCUGGGUAUCAGAAGAACACUACUUGGAAAUUUUCCACAGAGGUUGCAGUAGCUAAGAUCUAGUGACCUUAGAGAUCGCAUUUUUGAAAACUCAUGGGGGAUUUUUGAAGAAAUGUUUACAUUGCUCAUAUCGAGUUCUCUAAGACUCCUCAAAUUUUGAGCAAGUAGAUGAAGAAAAGAUUCAUCAAUAGAUAAAGAAGAAGAAGAAUCAGGGUAAAAACUAGAAGAAAGAUGGAGAGACACCAACUUGGUUAGCUGAAGAAGGUUGACUGGAAUUUGGCCUGAAAGUGAAGAAUCAGAGAGGUCAAGUGUUUCUAGCUUCAUGAGCUUAUCAAACUGAGCUGGGAUUGACGAACCGUUGAAAUUAUUGCCAGUAAGGUUCAAAUCACGGAGAUGAAGCAGUUUAAACAGACUACUGUUGGAUUCGAGCUUGCCGUAGAGGUAGUUGAAACUAAGGUCUAGUCCGAUGACUCUGCCCGACUUAGCAGCACACGUGAUGCCAUCCCAAGAACAACAAUCACUUUUUAUCACCCAAGAUUCUGUCUUUAUACCUGAAUCAACGUCCAAAAGAGGCUUCUUGAUCAAAAACCCAGUCUUAAACUCUAGAAGAGCAUCCCUUUCGUCAAGAUGACACAAGUGUUGUGUAGAAGAAACAAAUCUGUUUAGCAAACAUGAAACGAAAAAAAGGAAAGAGAUGGAACGAAGAAGGAAGCUCAUUUUCUGAUUACAUAAGAAAGCUUUCAUAUUUUUGAAUUAAAGAGUAAUCUGAAGUAGUGAUGGUGAACUAGUGUUGCAGGUCACUUACAUAUAUAUAUAAAAUCAAACACAUGAAGCUCCAUUGACUUAACAUUUUGAAGUCUUUUCCAUGAAAUUUCUUCCCCACAAAGAAUAUUGUGAGUCUUUCCAAAUCCAAUAGACUUGACUUAAUAGAUCAUAAACUCUCUUGCCCCAAAAAAAAAAUCAUGUUGUAAGAAAUUAGAAGCAAAGAUCAAAAAAUCAUUCUCAGUGAGUAAAUUAAAAUUGGAGUUUAGUGAGGACAAGUAUAAAAAUCAAAGUGCCGUGUAGCUUAUCCUUAAAAUGCUUACCAAGUUGUCAUCUGUCCAAUUCUAACCUAAAACAUACGUCAAUAUUAACUUUUCAAAAGUUUGAACAUUAGAUUCUUUAUAUGAGCCAAGCCAGAUUAAAACAAAACUUAGCUUGGCCAAAUUGAAGAGUUUUGUUCUCAAAACUGUACGUUUAUACUUGUCUGUAUUAACAACGAAUAUCAUAAAGUCUCGUUGAUGCUUGUGUUCUCAUAAUAUCACGAACCCAUACGUUACGUUUUAUCUCUCAAAGGAAUGUUCCGAUAAUAACCAAAUUUUAUUUACUUCUGAUCAUCAUAUACACAAAUAUUCUGGAGAUAAUUACACAAACUAUUUCUUACACAUUUUAGUACUUUAAUUCUAAACGUACAACAUAUAUGAAUGGUACGAUUAAUCGAAUUUGAAAUCUUUACAUUGAACGAAAGAUUGAUUAUAAGUUUUGGUUAUGUCUCACACUCAGGAAUCAGGAAAACAGCCAUAGAGUGUUUUUUUCCUUGUUUUAGUUUCAGUUUUUAAUUUUAUUUUGCUAAGAAUGUAAAAUUUUCAUUUAUUUUUUUUUUAAAAUAAAUAGAUUUACAAUCGAUGAUUAUAGACCUUAGGAUAAUAAUAGUUUCAGCUUCACUUUCUCUGGUCUAACAAGUCAAGUCGUCUAGUAAUCCAAUCUGAUAUAUAUAAAGUCAUGCCAGAGAGCUUCACGUGUAUAUUUGUGAUUAAAGUCAGGUUGCUUGGGGUUCUUCUUAAUUACUUGUCCUGUUAUCACACCAAUCAUUUUUGGUGCAAAAGAGACUUUUCACAACCAUUUUUGGCAUGUCAUCUUCUAAGGUAAUAACACCAAAAAUAACACCAAAAACAGAAAAGGCAUGUCAUCUGAGUAAAUUAUAUAAGAAAAUAAAUACCAAAACCUAGAAUUUUAUGUUUUUUAUUUUUAUUUUUUUUGUGGCUGUAAAACAUCAUUAAACUUAUCUCUAGGAUUGCGCAAAACUUAUUUCUUGGCUGACAUGUUACUACUACCACUCACAAAUCGCUUCACUGUCCCAGAGGGGCUAUAAUAUUCUUUAGGAAGGUGCUGACUAAUUUUCGCAAUAUUUGUUAAUUUUCGCAAUAGGUGUUGAUCUAAAAAUCUAUAAUGUAUUGUAUGAAUAAAGUUGAAAGACUUUGUAGCAACAAUGCACUCAAAUGAGAAAUUACAAUCAGAGAUUGUAAUAGAAUAUCCUAAGCAGUUCCCAAUAAUUGGGUUCGAGAAAGAGUCCAUGAGAUACAACGAGUAGUAGUUUCAUUGAGUGGGUUGACACGUUUCCACAUCUAUGAUGAGAUGCUUUUUAAAUUUGCAGAGAUCAUGAACCAGAAUAUAAACUGAAAUAGAACUGUUGUGCUACUCAACUUCAACAGUAAGAAAUGGUAUUAACAUCAUUCAUCACCAAUCAUAGGAAACAAGACUGAUCAAUUUUUCACUGAAAAAUCUCAACAAACAAGCGCAUAAGACCAUAUCAAAAAGAGAAGGAUCAAAUGAGUAAGUAACUAACAACAAGAUGAUAGAAGGAAACCUAAAUUCGUAAAUGAAAUCAAGAAUCACAGUGAGAACUAUUCAUAAAUUCUAUUGCUGCACAAAACUUCCUCUGCUUUCAUAACAUAAAUGGGUUGCAUCACAACAAAACUGACAUAUCUCAGACACAAGUUUCUUUAAGAUUUAUGUAUGCAUGAACAAAUACAAAAGACACUCAUUGAAUCAAUCAUCAUUCCACACAAGAUCAGAACACCAAAGAACAGCAGAUAUAGUAAGCACACACAACUAUACGAUCAUCCAGAACAACGUAUCGCUGUCACAUAGUUACCUACACUGCUACAUUUAAAUAAAAGAACACAAAACAUUGUAACACUCAUACGACAAGUAAGUGAAUGGUUUUCUAAACGAACUUGAAUGUCACAAAUAGUAGAAAAACGCAGUUUUUUUAAUCUUUGUAUAAAGAAAUCAAAAUCCUACCAGAUAUUAAAACUGACAAUUUAAUAGGAAUAAAAAUAUAUCAACAGAGGAUCAUGAGUUAUACCAUUUUAAUUAGCUCGUCACCUAAAGACACUCACCAACUCAAUCUUCCAUGAAACUUUUGACCAAUUAAACUAUGAAUAUAGCAAGUUCAAAAAGCGUUAAACUAAGCAAUAUAUAUGAGCAUAAACAUUAGAAACAGAGUUAUAAGACUUCGAAAAAGAUAAAUCCUAAGGGUCUAACCUGAAAAUAACCUGAUGAUCUUUGGAAACCUGAGAACAACUGCCUGCAAAAUAAUAUGUGAUGUAAGUCUUAAUAAUGUCUACAAAACAUAUGAACUUUUUAUACGGCAAAAAAACAAAGAAGAAUAUAUUAAGCUUAGAAGCAAUAGCAACACAAAACUGAAUGUAAAGUAAUAAAAAAAUAUAUAUAGAAGAAUAUAAAUUUACAUACGUCGAAUUAUUAAAGAACUCUUGUAAGCAAGUCAAGAGGUAAGGAACUACCUAAGCUACGUCAAUUAGGAGAUCUACCAAUUCGUUUCGAAACCCUAAUUUAAAUUUUUAAUAUUAAACUCUAAUUUUGGUUCUUAGAUUAGAGAAUCAAAACCCUAGCUAGUUAAACAGUUGUUCUUAUACAAUCAACGAGAAAUCGAAACCAAUUCAAUAAAAUCGAAAACUCAAACACUGACUUCGAUGGAAGAAAUUAAAGAACAUACACUGGAUUGAUUGGAUCGGCGAGCAUCGUGUUGCUUCCAUACUUAUAAGAUAGACACUGAAGAAGAUGAAGAGAACGUAAAAGAGAGAGAGAGAGAUCGAAGAAGAUCGGCGAGCCUCGUGUUGUUUCCAUACACCUAGGAGAGAAUGUAAAAGAGGGAUCGAAGAAUAUGAACAGAACGUAAAAGAGAGAUGGAGAGAUAGAGAGAGAUCGAGAGAUAGAGAGAGAUCGAGAGAUAGAGAGAGAUCGAAGAAGAUGAAGAAAACGUAAAAGAGAGAGCGAGAGAUAGAGAGAGAGAUCGAAGAAGAUGAAGAGGAUAUGACUAGGGUUUUAUUUUUUCGGCUCUUUCUCGGUUAUUUUCCAUUUAUUCAGAUUUAAAUAGAAGAAGAAGAAAAAACAAAUAUCUCUAACGGUUAUAAAAAUACAAAGAUUUAGUUAAGUGUCAAUCUCAUCAGGUUUUAAAUAUUUAGGAAUAUCAGAGAUGAGGCUGUGCCGUAACAACGAAGCAAUCCAUCUUGCGGUCGUAUAUAUCGAACGGUAUACACGUGUUGAUUAGUUUUAGACAAAUCCUUGUUUCUUUGUUACAUUUUUUUUACAUGUGUUCGUUUUUCUUGAACCAUCUAUGUUUUUUAUAUAUAAAAAAUCCUUGAUUUUCUAAAUGUAUAAAACAAAUUAUGCAAUAAACUAUAAGUUUUAAAAAGAGAAGGAAAAAAACAAACUUAUUGAUAGCAGUAAGGGAAAUUAUGGGAAAUUAUAAAAAAAUGUUAAACAUGAUUUAAAAGGUAUAUCUUCUUCAGAAAUACGAAAGUCAAAUCCUUAAAAGUUUAAGUCGACCAGAUUUUAGCAUUACCUGAUUUUGGAAGAUCGUAAUAUAAGAUAAGUACAUUUUAGUGUAAGUUGACCCAAAAAAAAGUAAUAAUAAUGAUAUGUUAAGAAUGUGUAUAAGUUAAUAUUCUUCAACUUAUUUUUUCAUAUAUAUAUAUAUGAGCUUUUAUUACAGUAGUUUACUUGAAACCCUAAUUGAUCACGAGAGAAACAAGGAUGAUAUCCCAACUGCCACAAGAUUUGAUAGAAGAGAUACUAUAUAGGGCCCCCGUGACAUCCCUGAGACGAUUACGAUCUACUUGCAAAGGAUGGUACCAUCAAGCUUUAUUCAAAGAUCCUAGAUUCAUCAAAAAACACUUUGACAAAACAGCAAGGCAUCUAGUUUCUUAGAACACAAGAAACACAAAAUCUUAAGAACACAAGUAAAAGAAUUACUCUCUUUAUUAGCUUUAGAAAAAUCCCUCAAAAACUAAAGCUCUCUUGUUUCUCAAAUCUCACAAGUUAUGCCACACAUUGACAUCUCCUUAUAUAAUGAGAAAACCCUAGGACAAUUCCUAAUCAAAAUAGGUAAUAUUACAUAUCUAGAUUGCUCCUAAAUAUGUUUGUCCUUAUCUCCUAAACCAUUACUCGGUUUGCUUGUGGUUCAAGCUUAAACCAACAUUCUCCCCCUUAAGCUUGAAGCCAUCCUCCUCCAAGUCAUGAACACCAAUAUAACUUCUCAUCUCCUUGAACUUGACUCGUCCAAGCGCCUUUGUCAAAAUAUCAGCCUUUUGUUUCUCCCCUGGAACAUACUCAACUUGAAUUUGUCCAUUCUCAACACACUCUCUUAUGAAAUGAUAUCUUCUAUGAAUGUGUUUGGACCGACCAUGAAACACCGGAUUCUUCGUAAGAGCUAUUGCAGAUUUGUUGUCAAGUAGUACAACAACCUUCUCGGAUAGUGAUCCAGUUAUCUCACUAAGCAAGUCCCGGAGCCAUAUCGCUUGUCUUGCCGCCUCUGUUCCGGCCAUGAAUUCUGCUUCACAAGACGACAUCGCCACCGUGUCUUGUUUAUGCGAACACCAAGAUAUAGGGCUUCCUUCUAAGUAGAAGAUGUAACCAGCUGUGCUUCUACCAUCAUCCGGAUCAACAUUAUGACUACUAUCACUAUAGCCUAUCAAUCUUGGUAUCUUUGAUACCGAUUGUUCAAAGACAAGACCAAGUGUAGUAGUUCCUUGCAAAUACCUCAAGCAUUGUUUCAUAGCAGCUCCAUGAGAUACUUUCGGAUUCUGCAUAUAUCGACUCAAAAUUCCCACGCAAUAUGUUAGAUCCGGUCUCGUAUGAAGUAGAUAACGAAAGCACCCUACAUGUUUCCUGUAUCUUGUAGCAUCAAUGCUCUUCUCAUCUUCUGCCUUUGACAAUUGUAGACCGGUUUCCAUUGGUGUGUGAGCCAAGUUACAAUUCCUCAUGCCAGCUUCUUCUAAAAUCUUUGUUGCAUAGCGUUUUUGAUUUAACAUGAUUCCUCCUUCGUGUUGAUACACUUCAAUCCCGAGAUAAUAAGUCAAUUUCCCGAGGUCGCUCAUGUCAAAUUUCAACGCCAUUUCCCUUUUAAACUCAUCAAUAACCUCUAAGCAUGUUCCUGUGACAAAUAGAUCGUNNNNNNNNNNNNNNNNNNNNNNNNNNNNNNNNNNNNNNNNNNNNNNNNNNNNNNNNNNNNNNNNNNNNNNNNNNNNNNNNNNNNNNNNNNNNNNNNNNNNCCUUUGCACACUUUGUGAAUUGUAACUCCAUGAGUAUUGCAUUCAGCUUAUUGUUCCACGCUCUUAGAGCUUGCCUUAAACCAUACAAAGCCUUAUGAAGUCUGUAGACUUUGUCUUCACACCCUUUUUCCUCAAACCCUUCUGGUUGCUUGACAAACACGGUUUCUUUUAACUCCCCAUGAAGAAAGGCUGUCUUAACAUCGAGGUGAUGAAUCUCCCAUCCAUUCAAGGCAGCGAGGUUGACAAGUAGGCGUAUUGUCUCAAGACGGGCUACAGGCGCAAAGACUUCAUCAAAAUCAACUCCGUACCGUUGGACGUAUCCCUUAGCGACUAGUCGAGCCUUGUAUUUAUUAAUGCUCCCAUCAGAAUUCCUUUUAAUCUUAAACACCCACUUCAAACCAAUUGCUUUUUCUCCAAUAGGUAGAUCUACAAGACUCCAUGUGUUGUUCUUUUGAAUCGAGAGAAUCUCAUCUUCACAUGCCCGUAUCCAUUCCUUUGAUACCUUUGCUUCCUCGAAACUUCUUGGUUCAUUAUUCAGACACAGCAGAAGUCUUUCUCCUUCCUCUUCAGCAAGUAACACAUAGUCUUCAAGAUAUUUAGGUUUUGAAACCUCUCUUUGUGUUCUCCUUAAUGCUAUAGGUUGAUCAUCGAUCUCCACAUCUUCAUCUUCUGUUUCAAGUGAUACAACCGAUCCAUUUUCUUCUGAAAUAGUUUCAUUGUUGUUUUCAUUGUUGUCUUCGUUUCGGGAUUCAAGCUCUUCUUCAUUCUCAUGGUCAUUCUCUCCCUCUUCAUCGUUCCUUUCAACAAUUUCUUGGAUCCCAUGGUUUCCUAAUUCCCCAAAUGUCACAAUAAAGUUUCCAUCGAGAUCCGAUUCUGAGUUGUUUCUACUCCAGUUCCAGCCUUUGGUCUCAUCGAAUACAACAUCUCGACUGACAACAACUUUCCUUGUUUUUGGAUCGUACAUUCGGUAUGCUUUUGACCAGGUUCAGUACCAAGAUGAACAAGCAUACGGGAUCUAUCAUCAAGCUUCUUUAGAAGAUGCUUCUCAAUCUUAGCAUAUCCAAUGCACCCAAAAAUCCGAAGAUGAUCAAUAUUUGGCUUCUUAUCUCGAUAGACCUCAUAUGGUGUUUUAGCCUUGAGUGUUCUUGUGGCAACUCUAUUCAAGAGAUAAGUGGAAUGUCGUAUCGCUUCUCCCCACAAAUGAUUUGGCAUAUGCAUAUGCUUCAGAAUGCUUCUCGCCAUCUCCAUAAGUGAUCUGUUUCGUCUCUCGACAACACCGUUCUGUUGAGGUGUGUAUGGUGCCGUAAGAUGCCGUGUGAUACCCGAAUCGGCACAAAAUUCAUUAAACUCUUGCGAUACGAACUCUCCACCUCUAUCAGUUCUGAAUGUUUUUAUGCUAGCUCCAGACUCUCGUUCAACUAAGCUUUUAAACUUCUUGAAUUUCUCAAAAGCCUCACUCUUCUCUUUUAGCAAAACAGUCCACAUGUACCUAGAAUAAUCGUCAAUGAGAACAAAGAUAUACUUAUUGGACCGCAAAGAUCUCCAUGUAUAAGCUCAAGUAGUUUAGUUGCACGGUAAGUAGUUGCUUGAGGAAAGACUUGUCUUGUUUGCUUCCCUAACAUACAAGAUCCACAUACUUCUUUCUCAACAUUAAACAUUGGAAUUCCUUGCACAAGCUCUCUUUGUAUCAUUGACUUGAUCGUGUCGAGGUUUAUAUGUCCUAACCUUGCAUGCCAUUUAUUUGACUCGCUUAUACUUGCUAGGUGUAAGCAUUCAUGUUCUAUGAUUCCCAUUCGAACUUUGUAAAGCCGGUUCUGUCCUCGAUUUGCUUUUACAAGUAGUUUCCCAUCAUGGUCAUGCAUAGUUAGACAUUCUCCUUUCAUACGUAUAUCACAACCUGUUUCGGUAGCUUGCCCAAGACUGAUGAUGUUGCUUUUCAAAUCGGGAAUGAAGUAAACAUCUCUCAUUGUUCUUGGUUCUCCUUUCAUAUCUGUAAAAGCUAUCGACCCUUUUCCUUUGAUGUCUAUCCUUGAAUCAUCACCAAAUCUCACCUUUCCUGUAAUUGAUCUAUCCAAUCUGGAGAAAUACCUUUGAUCACCAGUCAUGUGGUUGCUAGCCCCAUUAUCAAGGUACCAAACAUCAUCCUCUCCUGUGCUUGAGUUGUAGUCACUAGGUUUGCAGUGUUUUUCAUUCAAGUAUACAACCUCAUGCAUCAUGAGUUCAUCCGCUUCUUGAGUCUCAUUUGUAUUCUCUUGGGCUUCUUGUAACUUAAGUAAGCGGUCGGGACAUGUCGAUGCAUAAUGCCCUAGUUUGUCACAACGGAAACAGGUCACCUUGGAUGUAUCUCGUCCUCCACCAGUCCGGCCACGGCCUCUUCCUCGAUAUCGUCCUCCACGACCGCGACCGCGAUUUCCACCGUUAUACUCUUGGUAAGAUUGCUCAGUUGAGGACUCCAUGUUCGCAUACAUCAAUUUGCUUUGAUCUUCUUGUGGCUCAUCUUCGUCAGCUAUACGUUCCUCAUAGGCCUUCAAACGUCCAAUGAUGUCUUCAAAACUAGUAUUAUUAAGAUCUAGGGCCUGUUCAAGAGAGGCCACGAGGUGAAUGUAUUUCUUUCGUGGUAAACACUUAAGAAAUUUCUUAACUAACUUUGAUUCUUCCAUGAUGGCUCCUAACGCUGUUGAUUUAGAUGAUAUCUCUGAUAUUCUUCCACUGAAAUCAUCUAUUGUUUCUGAAUCUUUCAUCUUCCGACGAUCAAAAUCAGACAUUAGCGUUUGGAGUCUAGCUUCUUUAACCCGAUCUGCUCCUACAUAUCUCGCCUUUAUCGCAUCCCAAAUCUUCUUCGCCGUAUUCAGUUCUCCAACUUGGAGGAUAAGUGCCUCGGGGAUAGAUUGUAACAACAAGGCGACAGCCAUGUUGUUCUUCUCAUGAUUAACCGGAUCCUCGGGCUCGGUUUCUAUAGUUUCCCAUGCCUUAUGAACCUUCAGCGCAGCUUUCAUCCUCAAUACCCAUACGGUGUAGUUAACAGAGGUUAGCAUUGGACACUGGAUAGACGAAGAUCCUCCGCCUUCUCUCGGUCGAUCAGCAACGAGAAUUAUGUCACCCAUAUUGUCCUCACGAUCUUAGAAAGCUCUGAUACCAAUUCUAGUUUCUUAGAACACAAGAAACACAAAAUCUUAAGAACACAAGUAAAAGAAUUACUCUCUUUAUUAGCUUUAGAAAAAUCCCUCAAAAACUAAAGCUCUCUUGUUUCUCAAAUCUCACAAGUUAUGCCACACAUUGACAUCUCCUUAUAUAAUGAGAAAACCCUAGGACAAUUCCUAAUCAAAAUAGGUAAUAUUACAUAUCUAGAUUGCUCCUAAAUAUGUUUGUCCUUAUCUCCUAAACCAUUACUCGGUUUGCUUGUGGUUCAAGCUUAAACCAACAAGGCAGUAUCAUGCUCUUAUGCUGUUUGGCAAUACGGUAUGUCCAAUGAGCUCCAUUGUCGAUAGGGUUACGAGAGUGGUCAGUAUAUAUCCGCAUCGCCUAGCUCUUCCCCAUCGUGACGAAUUCGUCAGUUUAUCUGAAGCCUUUCACUGCGAUGGCAUAUUGCUAUGCAACCUCUUGAUGAAGACCAUGAUUGUGGUUUGGAACCCGUUUUCGGGGCAAACCAGGUGGAUCCAAGUUACCCAACUGCAAGAACACUAUAUAGGAGCCUAUGCUCUCGGAUACAACAACAAGGAGUUGUGUCGUAGCUACAAAAUCUUGAGGUUCCGGUGUCAAUACGAAAAGUUGGCGGCAUCAUGGGGCUGGGGUGCACUUAAUGUCACUCCGGAACCAGAAGGCAACAUUAUAUCGGAAAUAUAUGAGUUUAGCUCUAAUUUAUGGACGAAUCUGGAUUCGGUCCUUCCCGAUCAAGCCUACUUAAAACCUAGUGGUGGUGUAUCUUUAAAUGGGAAUACUUAUUGGAUGUCGUGUAAUAAAAAAGGACACUACUCACUACUCAGUUUUGAUUUUUCAACAGAAAAGUUUCAACGUUUAUGCGCUCCCUUUCAUCAUGAACCAUGCCAUAAUGAUACUAGGGUUCUCUCGGUUGUUAGAGAAGAACGUCUCUCGUUGUUAUAUCAGAGUAGGAAGACACUAGAGGUGGAAAUAUGGAUGACCGAUGAGAUUGAGACCACAUUUGUGUCGUGGAGCAAGUUCUUAAGAGUAGAUUUAUUAGGAUUAAACCAUUGUUUUUCGGAUUCCAUGAGCUUCUCCAUUAUCGAUGAGGAGAAGAAAGUUGUCGUGUGUUGUGAUGAAGCGGGAAAUUUCGACUUCACAAUGGUUUGGAUUGUUAAAGAAGGAGAAGAAUAUAGAGCAUCACAAUGGUUUGGAUUGUUAAAGAAGGAGAAGAAUAUAGAGCAUGGAGUAUACCACUUCUUAGUGUUCCAAGAUUGUUUGGUUAUGUUCCGAAAAAUUAGCAUUCUUGUCUCUUUAAUUUGCUUCCUUUGUUAUGUCCUUGGAUUGAUGGAUGAAAUAAUAUAGUAUUUUCUUGAAGUCUGGUAAAGUAAUGUGACUUUGCACAUAAACGGAAAACAAACAACACUGGUCUGUCUAGCUACGUCCAGAGAUUUCCCAGUUUGGAUUGUUUGUUUAUAUAGCUGGUACAUUACAUUUUACACUUUCCAUACCAUUAUUUCCAUACAGUAUAUCCCACUUUUUCUAUUAAACCUUGAUAUAUAUAUAUAUAUACUAGAAAGUUGCCCACGCGAUGCGUGGGUUAUACAUGAAAUAUUAAUUAAAAAUUAUAUUAAGUUAUAUAUAGUGUACAAGUGUUAAUAUAUGUUUUGAAAAUAAUUUUAAAAUAAAAUAAUAUGUUUAUAUUCAUUUAUAUGUUUAUUACAAAAUAAUAUUAAUUUUUAUGUAUAAAACAAAAUAAUUAACGCACAAACAAAAUCGAACGCGAUCACAAAAUUAGUAUAAAACAUAUUUUGUGUACAUUGUAAACAUUAAAAAUAAACGAAAAGUAUAUUUGGAAAAUAGAAAACUGAAUGAGAUCUAAACAAAGUAAUACAAAAUUAGCACAUACACAAUAUACAAAAUUAGCACAUACAAAAUUAUGAGCAUUUGUUACUCACCUUAUAUUUUAUCAUAACCUAAAAGUAACUUAAAUUUUAAAAAUGAUCAAGUUAAACUUUUCAAAAUAUAAAAUUAAAAGAUUUCAUUUGAAACAUAUGAUAUAUUGUUUUAAACUUUAUUUAGAAAAGAUUUUUCAAUUUAGAUUAUAAAAGCUUUUAAACUAUAGUUAUGUAAAAAGUAAAAAGAGAGAUCAUAAGCCAAAUAAACAGAAGAAGAUUACAUGAGAAUAAGAACUUUGAUAUUUUUUUUAUUUUUUUUUAUUGUAAAGGAAGCUGACAUAGGAGGUAGAUGAGAAUAUACAUAUAUAGACUUUUUAAUGUAGCAUUAGUUUAGUUUUAAAAUUACUACUAAAUUUUUUAAAAACAAAUAUGCAUGAAGAUUUACAUUACUAUAAAAGCUAAAUAAAUGAAUCCAAACUAAAAUAGCAUAACAUGUUUACACCAAAAUUAACAAAGAAGAUGAACAACGACAUCUAUCUAUUAUAUGUACAUGACAACAAUUCUGAACUACUUAUAAGAAAUCGAUUGUAUGUUUGGUCUCUCUAGGAAAUAAUAACUUAGGUUAGGUAUUUGUAUUGUUAUGAAAAAGACAAGUUAUUAUUUAUUUAUAACAAAUGAGGUUAAAUUACUAAGAAUGUAGACUGAGGUAUGAUAUUGUUGUGUAACUCAUACAUUAUUUAUCAUAAUUUAAUAGGAUUUCAAUGGUGAACAUUAUUAAAGAAGAUGAACGACGAUAUCUAUAUAUUAUAUGUACACGACAAUAAUACUAACUACUUAUGAAAAAUCGAUUUUAUGUUUGGUCUCUCUAGGAAAAAUAACUUGGGUAGGUAUUUGUAUUAUUAUGAAUAUAAAAAUUAUUAUUUAUUUUUAGCAAAUAAGGUUAAGUUACUAAGAGUGUAGAGUGGGGUAUGAUAUUAUUGUGUAAUUAAUACGUUAUUAAUUAUCAUAAUCAUUGUAAUUAAUAUAUUAUUAAUUAUCAUAAUUAAAUUAAUGAAUUAAAUUAAAUAUAACAUUCAUAAAAUGUAUGAUCUUUAAAAGAAAAAUAUUGAAGGACAAAUUCUUUUGUAAGCAAGUAUAUAUAUAUUUUUUAAACACUUUGACUGCAAAUUUUAAAUAAACUAAAUAUUAUAAUUUUUUUAUAUAAUAGUCUAUUUGAUCACAAAAACUAAAUAACAGAUAUAUUAAAAUGAAUUAAAAAAACUAUUUGAGAUUAAAAAAAAAUAAGAAAACAUUAUUUGAUAAAUGUUUUAAAUCGAAAUUUUUAUUUAUAUAGCAAUCAAAACUGUUAUAUUACAUAUGUGUUAUAUCAAAUUUUCUUGAUUCAUAAGUAUGAAAAUAUAAGUAUAAUAAGGCGUUAGAAAAAAAAAAUUGAAGCUUUAUAAGAGAUAUAUAGCAUACUUUCUAAAAUAAAUUUAGAUCAAAUUCUUAAAUUGAUAUUUUCAUUGAUUCUCAAUCAAUAUAACAACAUAAAAGUAGUAAAAUAUUUAAGAUACAUGAAUAUAGUGGCUGAGAAUGAGAGAAGCAUUAAUUAUAAGAUGAUAAUGUAAAACAAAUGAUAGAGAUGAAUCUUUAAGAAAGAAAAAAUUAAGAGACCUUUCAUAUAUUCAUAUAGUGUAAAACGAAAAUUUUGAAAACUGUUAUAUUACAUAUGUGUUAUAUCAAAUUUUCUUGAUUCAUAAGUAUGAAAAUAUAAGUAUAAUAAGGCGUUAGAAAAAAAAAUAUUGAAGCUUUAUAAGAGAUAUAACAUACUUUCUAAAAUAAAUUUAGAUCAAAUUCUUAAAUUGAUAUUUUCAUUGAUUCUCAAUCCAUAUAAGAAGGGCUUGUUAAAUUUGGGUGCGUAGAUAAUCUGAAAACAAAAAAUGAAUGUGUGAUAAAUUUUUUAUCAGAUCUCUCUCCUCUGCCUUAUCAAAGUUACCUUUUUAGCCCUCAACCUGGUUUAACUAAAAAUAUAAACUGACAGAAACUAAAUAGGAUGCCUAGGCUAGGGAAAGAUUUCCUCGAAAAAAAUCUGACUACUCCAAACUUACGCCGACGUUGGUGAUAAAUUUUAAGUUAUCAACUAUUUUUUCUAUUAUCUAUGUACUAAUGAUUUCCAAAUGAAAAUAUAAUUUUGUUUAAUUACAAAAUAUAAACCCUAACCACUAUUUUAUCAACCCAAACCAAAAUAUAAUUUCGUUUAAUUACAAAAUCUAAACCCUAACCAAUAUUUUGUCAAUCCAAACUGAAAUAUAAUUUCAUUUAAUUACAAAAUCUAAACCUUAACCACUAUUUUUUCAACCCAAACAAAAAUAUAAUUUCAUUUAAUUACAAAACUAAACCCUAACCACUAUUUUGUCAGCCCAAACCAAAAUAUAAUUUUGUUUAAUUACAAAAUCUAAUCCCUAACCACUAUUCUAUAAACACAAACAAAAAUAUAUUUUUGUUUAUUUAUAAAAUCUAAAGCCUAACCACUGUUUUAUAAACUCAAACUGAUACAUAUUCCAUGAAUUUGAUAACACUGUUCAUCAGUGAUUAAAAGCAUUCGAUAACUUUUUUAAAAACAUGUUAAAUAAUAUGUUAUCGCGGUAAGUUACAUAUUAUCCGUUAAAUUGAGUAUUUAUAUAAACCGGUAAUAUAAAUAUUUUAUACAAGUACGUAAAUAUAUAUAUUAGUUGAUAUCAGUCAUAUAAUAGUUAAUUUAACUAGAUAAUUAUGAGUUUAUCGAAUAACUUAUAAUUUAUAGCGGUAACAUAUAUUUAACUAUAAAUAAUUUAACUAGAUAACUAUGAAUUUAUCAGAUAACUUAUAACGUAUACCAGUAAGAUAUGAUUUACAUAGUUAACCAAAUAAAUAACCAUAAAUGUUAUAGUUGAUAUUAUAAUAUAUAGCAAAAUUAUGGUGGAUAUUUUCUCUCAAAAUCUUGUUGCAAUAUAUCUACUAAAAAUCUAAUCAAAUAUAUCACAUGAAUAAUCAAAUCUUUAUUAAAAAAAUAUAUUACAAUUGGGUUUUGGUUUCUCACGUCUAAACACAUGAAUAAUCAAUCUUCCUUUGCUCCAUNNNNNNNNNNNNNNNNNNNNNNNNNNNNNNNNNNNNNNNNNNNNNNNNNNNNNNNNNNNNNNNNNNNNNNNNNNNNNNNNNNNNNNNNNNNNNNNNNNNNCCUCUAAAAAAACUUCAAAUCUUCUUCCUCUUUAAAAACUCUUGCUUUGAAGUAUCUUUGUCCUUCUUCACCGCAAGAAUUUCUUAAGUAUGAAAACCAAUAAACACACAAUGAGAAAAAGAAGAAGAAGAAAGGGUUUAGAAGAUGAACUUAUCGAAAUGAUUUUCUAGAAAUGUAAACUUAUAUAUAACUUGAUUCACCUGGAGUUGUAUGGUUGGAAAGAAAAACUUCUUUGAAAAUUUUCAGAGAAGAGUUUUUGUCGUAUGAUGAUUUUCAUAUUUUUUGUUUGUGUUUUGUGAAAUGGAAAGAAAAGUUUUAGAAAAUAUUUAUACAUAAAAGAAGUUCUCUGAUAUUUAGAGAUCGUGGGUUAGUUGGUGAUAUUUUGAUUUUUUAUUUUAUUUUUAAUAAAACAGUUUAUCAAACAUAAUUGAAGAAAAUAAUAAAUAAAAGAUGAGGACUUUAGAGAAAAAGUAAAAAUCAUUUUUUGACACUUAAAAUAUAGAAAACAAUCGUGAAUUAAAAUAUUAUGAAAACAAUAAAAUAUUUCGAAAAGUAAUAUUUUAAAUAAAAUUAUAUCAUCUUAAUUUAUGAAUUUUUUUCUAACUACCUCGUUUUUAAAAAAUAUAUAUAAUUUAUUGAUGCUAUUAAUAUAAUUUAUUUUAGCAUCACAUUUUUAUGAUGUUAAUUUUGUAUCAUUUAAAAAAUCGAUUUUAUCAAAAAAAAUACAUACAUCAAUUAUCUAAAUGAUGUAAUUAUGUAUUUUACAUCAAUUUAUUUUAAAGUGAUACAAUCUACUAGAAAUUGAAUCAGUUUUAAAUAAUUGAUGAAAAUUAGUUAAUAUUAGCAUCAGUAAUGUAAUUGAUGUAAAAUUAUUUAUAUUUGCUUCACUUAUUAAAAAGUAAUUUAAAAUAAGAUCACUUAAAUUUGUGAUACAAUUUAAGUGAUACAAUAUAGUCAUUUUUUUGUAGUGUUAUAACCGAUCAGACUGAAAACAAUAUAAUUAGACAUUAAUCAAUAGCUACUAAAAUUAUGUUAAAUUUGUAUCGAGAUAACAAUAUUUGUAUUAGAUAAUAUUAUACUUAUCCAGUCAAAAACAUUGUAUUAGAUAAUAUGUUCAAAACAGCUCUUCCUCCACGAACCUUUGUCUAUGUCCCUCUCCUCUUCUUCUUUUUCUUCUUCUUCCUCCUCUUCUUAUCUGUCCACCGCCGCGGUCGGGAGACUACAGAACUUAAUCGAAGAGUAGGAGAGAGGGAGAAGAGGAGAGAUAUGUAACGAGAAUAGAACGGGAAGUGUAGGGAUCGUGGUGAGAGAUCCGUCGAAGCCGCCGCCGAAGACGAAGCUUGUGGCGAGGAAUGGGAAGCUUAUGGUGGAGGAAGAGGUUAACGCGGUGGGACCAAACGGAACGGAGUUUGUAAUAAUGGCGGUUGAUUCGCCGUUACAGAGAAUGGAUUUUCUUAAGAUACAGAGAAUGAGAACAAUUUAAAUCUUUAUCUCUUACAUUUUUAAUGGAUUUUGUUUUAGUUUUUUUCUUAUUUGAGACAAUAUGGAAAAUGCUUUUGUUAGACUUCGAAAAACACAACACAUUCUCUGAUCGAGUCUACUUAAUUCUUUGGGUAGAAAGAGAGAGAAAGAUGGGGAGAGAAAGAGAGAGAAGAGUUAGAGAAAUGAUGGGAGAGAAAUGUGAACUACAUAGCUAUAGGGAGAAAAAUGUCUCUAAAAAUAUGAGCCAAAUAAAAUUUUAUAGGCAUUGGAUAGUAAAAUAUUUAAGAUACAUGAAUAUAGUGGCUGAGAAUGAGAGAAGCAUUAAUUAUAAGAUGAUAAUGUAAAACAAAUAAUAGAGAUGAAUCUUUAAGAAAGAAAAAAUUAAGAGACAUUUCAUAUAUUCAUAUAGUGUAAAACGAAAAUUUUGAUUAAACUUUUACAAUGUUAUUAAAUAUAUUUUUCUUUAACUGAGACAACAAAUAAUAAACAACAAAGGAAAAAAAAAAAACAAAACAAACAAAAAUAUAUAAGAUUUAAGAUAAAGUGGAAGAAGAUGAGAAAAUGAGUAUUUAGAAGAUAAGAAGUGAUGGGAAUUACAAAUUAGAAGAAGAAAUUGUGCGAGCUAAUUCUAAUUUAUUGUGUGUUAAAUAAAAUUGAGUAGAAAAAUAUAGUUAAUGCACAUUUUUAUUAUUUCAGUUUUUAUAUUAAACUGUGAGUUAAGAAUUAUUUGAAUAAGAAAGAGGUAAUAAUCUAUUAGUUGGAAAUUGUGUUACAAUAAAAUAUUUAAUUAGAUAUUUCAUAAUCAAAAAAGAAAAUGCAUAUAUAAAAUGGAUCUUUAUAACUUAAUUCUCUUGUUGUGCGAUGAUUGGAACUAAUAUAAGAUACUAUGUUAGAUUUUUAUCAUACUUUCUAAAGAUAAUUAUAUCAAAUUCUUAAAAUGAUCAUUUCAUUGAUUUUUAUGUCACAUAAGAACAUAAAAAAAUAGAAAAAAAAUAUUAAAGAUACAUGAAUAUAAUGUAAGAAAGGGAGUGAAUGUACUUAUAUGUUGAUAAUUAAAAAUAGAAAAUAGAGAUGAAUUUUCAAAAAAGAAAAAAUUAUAAUAACGUAAGAUGUAUAUCAAUAUAUCAUAUCGUCUCUAAAAGUUUCUACAGUUGAAAUUUUAUAUAAUAGUAUUUAAUUUUUUUUUAAAACUCAUACAACCAAAAAACAAAAGCAAACAAAUUUCAUAUAGAAGAGAAUGAGAGAAUGAGAGAAUGAUAUAAUGAGAAAAUGAGUAUAUAGAGGAAGAGAAGUGAUGGGAGUUACAAUUUCAUAAAACAAUUAUGGGAGUCAAUUAUAAUUGAUUGUGUAUUGAAAAAAUUGAAUGGAAAAUAUAGUUAAUGCAAAUUCAUAUUAUUUUAGUUUUUAUAUUAAAAUGUGAGUUUAAUGUAUAUGAUUAAAUGUGUUUUGUGGUUCUUUGUUUUUUUUCAGUUUUAUAUUAAAGUGUGAAAUAUAUAAUAUGUUUUAAAGUUAUAAGCCAAGUGGACCAAUAAGAAGAUGGUAAAACCUUAUAUAUAUAUAUAUAUAUAUAUAUAUGAUUUAUGAAUAAUAUGAUAGUUAUUCUUUGAUUUAAAUUCAUUAUAUUAUUUUCUCAACUGUUUGAUAAUAGAAAAUUAAAUAAAAUUUGUUGGUUAAAUAGUUACAUAGAAACAAUUAUCUUAUAAAUAAUUUUUAUCCAAAUUUUAUAUAAGAUCUACUGAUUUAUUAUACUGAAAAACAAUCAAGCUUUCUCUAAUUUCAGUAUUUAUCAUAGAUUUGACCAUACUAAAAAAAAUCUCUUUAAUUCUUCUCUUAUAAAUUAACUUUUUAAAAUUAGAAAUUAUGUUAUAAAUAAUUUAUCACCUAUAUUAAUAACUUUAAAAAGGUAUCUUUAAAGGAGUAGGGAAAAAAAGUCAUAGCAAUUUUCUUUGAAUAAAAAAUUAUAACAACUCCAUUUUAUGUUUAGCUUAUAUGAUAUUUAAUUUAAUUAGAAACUAAAAUUAGGAAAAACAUAUUUUUGCAACAAUGACACUUUUUAAAAAGCAAACUAUACAUAUAUCAUAUAACUUACAACACAAUAUCAUAAAAAAAAAUAACUUUGAAAUUUUAGAUUAGAAAUUAAUAAAAAUGACACAUGUGAGAAGCAUAGAGAAAAAAUAACUUUGAAAUUUUAGAUUAGAAAUUAAUAAAAAUGACACAAGUCAGAAGCAUAGAGCGACACAUAUCGCAUUGUGAGGCAAAGUUAAGAAGAAACCUUGUCUUAUUAUAGAAGAUAUAUAUAAACAUCUUUCAUCUGUAUUAUUUUAGUAGCAUUUGAUAUCUUAUGCAUUCUCAAUAAAUAAGCAUACCUAACUCAUGAUGAUCACCAAUUCAAAAUGUACAAUAUGUCAAAACCUUGUUUCGUAUAAAAGGUUUUCUCAUCUUAUUAAGUUGUGUAGGCUUAGCCUUAUAUACACGAUUACAAAAUAACCUAGAUACGUAAAAUAUACUUGACCAAACUAUACAGCAAGUAUAUAUUAAUUACAUAAUACAUCCCUCUCCAAUACAAUACAAUUACAAAAAUAAAAAAAUAAGUUUCUGAAUAUGUGGUAAGUAACUUUACCCCUAGGCGUCAAAUAUUUUGAAUGCUUAAAGUCUAAACUAAGAAACUGAAGGAAAGACAAUUAAUACAUAAACUAGAUUUUACCCCGUGGUACACCACGGGGCCAGUAUUUUAUGCAUAGGUGUUAUGUAAAUAUAUAUGGGUUGAAUUUGAAAGAACUUAGUAUAUGUAUUUAAAAAAAUAAAAAUACUAUUAUUAAAUUCAGAUUUGCUAAAAUAAAGGUGUACGUGUAAAACUUAAGUUUGUAAAUACAUUUAUAUUUGUAAGACAUAGUUGUAACUUAUUACCGAAUAUAUAUGAGUUAAAUUUGAAAUAAACAUAAGUAUUUGUAUUAUAUAAAAAUGUAGUAUUAUUAAACUCUAAAUAGACUAUACUAAGAUGUAUAAUCAAUAUAAUAAACUUAUUUAAUGACUACCAAACAGUAAAAGUUAUCAUCAUAUAUCAAAAUUUUAUAGACAUUUUUAUUCAUUUUAAAAUAAGAAGUAUGACUAAUUUGGUAACUACACUAAAAUUAUCUUUACUUUAUGAUUAUUCGGAAAACCUACCUGUAUUAAUUUAUUUUUGUUUGCUAAACAAAAACUUUAAAAUCCAAGUUGGAAGAGUUGGGUACUCCAAGAUAUAAACUUUAAUGAGAUAUGAUUUAUUACUUAUGAAAAUAUAAAGAACUAAGUCUUUGGCAAUUGUUUUAUUUUUUACUUUGAGAAUUGAUUUGAAUGAGAAACCACAGCUCUAAACCGUAUUAAAACAAAUUUCACGUUUGUUUAAUUAAAAAAAAAGAUAUAUUUCACGUAGGUAAGAAGCCAUGCAUGAGAGAUAUAAUUGUUUAUAUCUUUGUUUUAUCUAUCCUACCAUUUUUUUAGCCACAUAAGUAUUGUGACCAACAAUAAGUGGAUGAAAAGAAAGAUUAGCUAGAGAGAACUAACCCAUUAUUUUGGUUUUUCAGAUUAUCACAAACAAAUAUAAUUCCCCAAAAGCAAAAACAAAAUAGGCAAAUUUUAUGCCUUCAAUAAUAUUUGUAUAUAUUCUCUGAAGAAAAUAAAAUUGGAACAAAUGGAAUUGAAGUUACAUUUAAAUUUCGUCAUUGUUUCUAUAUUUCAUUCAUGCCAAAUAAUAUUAAAUGAAUAUAUAGAACUCAGAAAAUAACUAUAAAUACAAAGGAUAAAUGAAGAAGAAAGAUGAGCAAUACAUAUAUGAACAAACAAUAACUUAUUUUAGAGAUAUACAUUACAGCCUGAAACCGAAGAUCUAUCUAGAAUGAAUCUGUCUAUAGUUCUAUAUUACAUAUUAGAGACACAUAAACAAACGUAUAUUUAGAUGUAGAAAAUAACAUAAAAGUUUAUUCUGAAAUUUCUAUGAGUAAUUUGUGUAUGCUCUUAUGAUUUUUCUAUUGUGUAAAUUGUUGACAAACUAUUUAUAGAGAUCCUUGCUAAUAAGGUUAGGUGUGAUUGAGAAUGUUUGUGUAGCAAUUAGUUUAUGUUUCCUAUAUUUACUCGAUCUUUAACUAAUAAUAAGGAAAUCUUUAAUUAGUUCUGAUUUUAUGAUUUAUGGUUAUAAAUAAAAACGCUUAUGUGUUCUCCUAAUCUAAACAUAUCUUACCAAAACUGAAUUUUGUGAUGAUUUUUUGGCAUUAAUAUUAACAUUAAUGAUGAUUUUUUGGCUUCAAAAUCAUUUUUAUUGCGAAAUUAAAUUUCUUUCUAUAUAGGAAUAAAUUUCAUUCCGAUUUAAUGCUAACUAUAUUCUCAAACUUUACCAAAUUACCAAAUCCCUCUCCAAUACAAUACAAUUACAAAAAUAAAAAAAUAAGUUUCUGAAUAUGUGGUAAGUAACUUUACCCCUAGGCGUCAAAUAUUUUGAAUGCUUAAAGUCUAAACUAAGAAACUGAAGGAAAGACAAUUAAUACAUAAAUUUAUGUGUAUAUAUAUGUUUUUUUUUCUUCUUUUUGUAACUAUCUUAAUUUAGCUGUGUUGUAAUGGAUUUAUAAAGAAUUUCGUUGCUUGCUCAUCAUCGGCUAGAUUCGCACCAUCAACGGGAUCUGUCUCCGUGUCGAUAAUCUCGUCCCAUACCAUAUAAUUGGAUGUGUUUAGCAUAGAACACAUGAUCGAUAAAGGUCCUCUUGUUCUCUUGGUUUGGUCAUUGGGACGACAAGAUCUCCCAUUGUUUCUUCACGAUCCUACAAUGGUUUUAAUAACAAAUCAAGAAUGUAAUGAACUAAUUCAAGAACUUUCUCAAGUUCACAAAACUAAUAAUUUAUGCCACACAUUGGCAUAUACUUAUGUAGAGAAUUCAUAAACAAUACCAUAGUCCAAAUAUUAUUGACAAAAAAAAAAACCAUAAUCCAAAUAGGAAAAAUAUACAUGUUUAGAUAACUCAUAAACUUCUGUUUCCUAAAACCAUAAUUCUGUAGGAUUAUGGUUUAGCUUGAGACUCAAGCUUUCUUCAAGCAUAAACCAACAUUCCGGACAAAAUAGUUUCUACUAUUGGUGAUUUUAAGAUUCCAAAGUUUUAGUUCUCUUUCGGGUUCGACGCUUCAGAUGUUUUGAAAGGAUUGGGACUGAUUCGCCAUUCAGUGAUGAAGACGGUUUAACUGAGAUGGUUGAAUCUCCAGAAAUGGGGAAGAAUCUAUCCGUAUCGAAUAUUUUCCACAAAGCAUGCAUCGAGGUAAACG
rnacentral:lncRNA from 1 species